GCCCAUGAAAUAUAACUUGUUGUUUGAAAGUCAUAAGUCUUGCCUCUACAAUAUGAUGGUAUCAACUCGUGCUCAUGAAACGUAGCUUGUUGUUUGAAAGUCAUAAGUCUUGCCUUUAUAAUGUGAGAGUGUUAACUCUUGCUGAUAAGAUGUAACUUGAUUGGAAGAAAUUGAAGAAAAGAACAAAAAUAAUAAAAAUUAUAAAAAAAGAAAAAAAUAUUAAAAUAAAUAAAAAUCAAAGA
rnacentral:lncRNA from 1 species